AAGAUGUCCUGUGCUAUCUGAGAUAUGAUUAUGUUGUGUAAGAAUAGACAUUACCGACUAUUAACACAUGCACACCUUAGCUCUCGCUAUGCACACGACGCACGAGGAAAGUAGUAGCGCGGAGUAAUACAUAGACUUGCACGUAAGACACUACACACUAAACACGUGUAUACGUAUCCUGUUGUAAUAUCAUUAAAGAUACUUUUGCAAGUACACCGUGUAUAAUAACUUUCUGGCUACGUUACAUAACAGAUUAUCAGAUAUGAUUCUAGCCUAACUAUGAACUCAUAUAUGAUCAUACGAGUACAUAGUUAUACAUUAGAUCAUAUAUAAUAUUAAUGACUACAUGUAAUUGAAUUUGAAAUCAUAUAUAUUUAUAUAAAAAUCAUAUAUGAUUAUAUGAUUGAUAUGAGUUUCUUAUUUAAAAUCUACUAUUAUAUAUGAUCCCAUAAGGUUGAAUAUGGAGUCGUAUAUUACUUAUAUGGACAAAUAUUAUUUCAUAUCAGAUUAGGAUACAUUAUCUAAUAAUAACAAAUUUCUAGAAAUCUUUUUGGUACCUGUUUUAUAAGUUUUUCAAAAGUUUUAACAUCUUUGGUUUUUUUUACAAUUUUUUAAAAUAUUGCUACAACAUUAUUAAGGUAUGUUGCAUAUCUAUAUUUUAACAAUGUUUCUACAAUAUUGCACUGCAAUAUGCAAUGUUGCAACCUUGCAGCAAUACUACUGCAAACUUUUGUGCUGUAUGGGCAUUUUUAUUUUUAAAGAGUGAUUUACCGUUGAUGAAUAAGACGAAUGAGUUUAAGUAUCUAAUCUAACUUUAUAGCUGUCACACUAACACAGCGCAAACGGGAUGUUACUGACACAUAUUUAUGUAUAAGUUUUUUGAAACCAAUAUAGCGAAGAAUGGUUUCUCCUGUAUGCCUGAGAGAACACUCCUUCUUGCCUAAAAUAGAACUUUAUGCUUUGUUCCUUUAUUUCUAAGUGCGUGGGGACACCACGUAAGCGGCGACGUGGUCAACCAACGAGGCCAGCACCGGCACCAGCAUUAGCAACACCAACAACGACAUCGUUGCUAUCGCCAACGGCGCUCGCACUAACUACACCACUAGCGCCAGUACCGUCAUAUGUCUACAGUAACGCGUACGGCUCUGUAAAUAGUGUACAUAAUUUUUAUGAUUUUUAAUACUGUAAGUAGCAAGGAAAGGUGCGUCUCAGAACAGAGGGCGUUCCGCGGGGGGAGGAAGACGUGUGGGGGGGAGGAUCGGCCGCAGCGCUCGUCGUAAGCGGUAGACGGGCAGUCGAGACGGAAGGAGGGAAGGAACAAAUUGGGCCAUGCGUUUGUUUCGGCUCACUGUGUAUGUAUGCGUGAGAGCGGCGGAGGGGUGAUGAGGCUGGUUCUUGGAUACUGUGCUUUCUAAUGCAUUGUAGCGGUGGAACAGGAGACGAUUUUGGGUCUCCGCCGCCGCGCGGGAGGUGGUACGGCGUAGCGCGAUGCGUUAUUUGCGGUUAAUUGCAUCGACGCUUGCUGCGCUUUGAUAAUUGCAAGGUGCAUCUUUAUCGUGAUGUGUCAUUAUUUACAUAAGGGAAUUCUAAUUCAGAAAAAAUAGGAGAGUAUACUUUUUUAGGAGAGUAUACGAUGCAUCGUGACGCGUUAUCUGCGAUUACUCUUAUUGAUGCUCGGUGCAUAUUAAUAAUUAUUAAUAGAAUUGAAAGAGGGGCUAAUAAGAGUCAAGACGCUGAUGUUGGUGCGUAUAUUUCUGAGUUUAUUUAAAAUGAAUUCAAGUUUUAAUCCUGUUUCGGGUCAUCAGCAAAAAAAAGUCGAAAUCAAACAGCCUCCACUUCACAUGGCGUGGUUCUACUUCUUAACGAGUCACAAUCGAGUAGUCAUCCGAGUGAAAUUGAAAUUCUAAAGGGUGACAAACUAAUAAUAUAUAACACUACAAUGACUAAUUAGCUAAAAUGUUAAAUAAAACUUACAAAAACUUACCAUGUAAAGCAAGGAGCGGACACAUAUUAAACGCACAAGAACGUAACUAAAUAUAAAAUUAACAUUAAAAGUAAGAUAAAUGGACAUCAUGUAACAGCAUAAAAACGAUACAUCUGGCCUGUGUCACAGUCAAGGCGAUAUUGCUCUCCGUCCGUAGUUUGAUUUUUUGUGUAAAAGCAAUAAUGUUUGUACGUUUGCAGCGGUAGGCAUUCAGGCAUGCAGUUCCGAUAUGAGGUAAAGCAAUGUAGCGGAAGUGGCUACACGCAUAAUGAUACGCGUGUUUUGUUAAUUAUAAAUAAUGCAAUGUUAAACGUUUAGAAGCUGUAAGUUUUUUUUUAUUUAGUAGAGUACAAUCAGUAAUAAUGUAGUACAAAAUAUAAUCAAUAGUAAUGUAGUACAGAAUAUACAUCGUUAUCGGAAUAGCCGACGGAUGCGGCAAGCCGAUUAGCGGUUUGCUAUUCUUAUGCGAUAUAUUGCAGUGUUUUAUAUAGCAUUAUUUAAUAUUCCUACGUUUACUUGACAACUUAAACGUAAAUUUGCGCGUGAUAAGUGAAUAAUGUUUAACAUGGUAAGAGAAUAUAAUAGGUGUAGUGUACAAAAAUAUGUAAUAUUGUGUAACAAAAUAAUGUUUUUAUUUAGCGCCGUGUAAAAGGAUGCAGGAAUGUAUGGAAGUCGACAGUGAUUGGUGUACGUAGACAGUUAGAACGAAUCAACAAUGAUGCAAUUCAGAUGGAAACAGACUGGAAUAGCAGUUUUGCCACUCUCUUUAGGAUACUUACCACUGCUGAGGAGUAUUUGCAAAAACGUUUGACAAUGAAGGAAAAGAGAAAGAGGAAUGAUGAAUAUGCGAUGGAAUGCGAUGAUUGCGUGUCCCUAUAAAUACGACUAUUCUGGUAAACAAAAUGUAAAGCGGAUAAAAUUACGUUUCUGUUAUUUGUCGAGAAGCGUGUGUACGUGUGAACGAUGUAGCAUGUACAUAUGAGCAAUGUAGCGGGUAAUGCGUGUGCGUGUGAUGCAGCAUUAUAGAGAGCCAUUUUUUUGAUUGUUAUAGAGGGUGUCCCAUUUUAAAAAACGCACCUCGAUAAUUUUUUAAUAAAGCAUUUUCAAUAAAAAU